GACGAACGCUGGCGGCGUGCUUAACACAUGCAAGUCGAACGGAAAGGCCCUGCUUUUGUGGGGUGCUCGAGUGGCGAACGGGUGAGUAACACGUGAGUAACCUGCCCUUGACUUUGGGAUAACUUCAGGAAACUGGGGCUAAUACCGGAUAGGAGCUCCUGCUGCAUGGUGGGGGUUGGAAAGUUUCGGCGGUUGGGGAUGGACUCGCGGCUUAUCAGCUUGUUGGUGGGGUAGUGGCUUACCAAGGCUUUGACGGGUAGCCGGCCUGAGAGGGUGGCCGGCCACAUUGGGACUGAGGUACGGCCCAGACUCCUACGGGAGGCAGCAGUGGGGAAUAUUGCGCAAUGGGCGGAAGCCUGAGGCAGCAACGCCGCGUGCGGGAUGACGGCCUUCGGGUUGUAAACCGCUUUCGCCUGUGACGAAGCGUGAGUGACGGUAAUGGGUAAAGAAGCACCGGCUAACUACGUG
rnacentral:rRNA from 1 species